CUCCAGUUGAUCGCAUGGUCUUCUGGGAAAGCUUUCGCGGUAUGGGAUGGGGUCGCGUCCUAUCAGCUUGACGGCGGGGUAACGGCCCACCGUGGCUUCGACGGGUAGCCGGCCUGAGAGGGCGACCGGCCACAUUGGGACUGAGAUACGGCCCAGACUCCUACGGGAGGCAGCAGUGGGGAAUAUUGCACAAUGGGCGUAAGCCUGAUGCAGCGACGCCGCGUGAGGGAUGGAGGCCUUCGGGUUGUAAACCUCUUUUAUCGGGGAGCAAGCGAGAGUAAGUUUACCCGUUGAAUAAGCACCGGCUAACUACGUGCCAGCAGCCGCGGUAAUACGUAGGGUGCAAGCGUUAUCCGGAAUUAUUGGGCGUAAAGGGCUCGUAGGCGGUUCGUCGCGUCCGGUGUGAAAGUCCAUCGCUUAACGGUGGAUCCGCGCCGGGUACGGGCGGG
rnacentral:rRNA from 1 species